AUAGAACGCUGGCGGCAGGCUUAACACAUGCAAGUCGAGCGGGGUGAUGGUGCUUGCACUAUCACUUAGCGGCGGACGGGUGAGUAAUGCUUAGGAAUCUGCCUAUUAGUGGGGGACAACAUCUCGAAAGGGAUGCUAAUACCGCAUACGUCCUACGGGAGAAAGCAGGGGGUCACUUGUGACCUUGCGCUAAUAGAUGAGCCUAAGUCGGAUUAGCUAGUUGGUGGGGUAAAGGCCUACCAAGGCGACGAUCUGUAGCGGGUCUGAGAGGAUGAUCCGCCACACUGGGACUGGAACACGGCCCAGGAUCCUACGGGAGGCAGCAGUGGGGAAUAUUGGACAAUGGGGGGAACCCCGAUCCAGCCAUGCCGCGUGUGUGAAGAAGGCCUUAUGGUUGUAAAGCACUUUAAGCGAGGAGGAGGCUCUUUUGGUUAAUACCCAAGAUGAGUGGACGUUACUCGCAGAAUAAGCACCGGCUAACUCUGUGCCAGCCGCCGCCGUAA
rnacentral:rRNA from 1 species